rnacentral:rRNA from 1 species
AAGGAUCAUUAACAGAGAUAAGAGAUGUCCAUCAUCUCGAGCCUCCAUCCUAUGCGAACCAAUGCUACCUUUUGUUGCUUCGGUGCCUUCAUCACACCGAUAGUAUAGCUCAAAUUCGUUUUAAAAUCGUGAUGUCUGAGUUUUUAUACCAAACUUAAUAAAACUUUCAACAACGGAUCUCUUGGUUCUGGCAUCGAUGAAGAACGCAGCGAAAUGCGAUAAGUAAUGUGAAUUGCAGAAUUCAGUGAAUCAUCGAAUCUUUGAACGCAUAUUGCACCUUUUGGUAUUCCGAAAGGUAUGCCUGUCCGAGCGUCAUUUCACCCCUCAAACUUUGGUUUGGUAUUGGGCCUGGUGUUGGCAUUGUCAACGGCCCCAAAAUCAGUGGCGGCGCGACAUAAAUCCCAAGCGUAGUGAUACUGUUUGUGCUUCGGUGGUUUAUGGUCGUGGUAGCCAAAAGCAUGGGCGGAUGUAAAGGGGGGCGGAAAAUGAUAUUUUCCCUCUUUGCACCUUCCGAAUGUUUUUCCAUCAUUGACCUCGGAUCAGGUAGGGAUACCCGCUGAACUUAA